UACGUAGGGAGCAAGCGUUGUCCGGAAUCAUUGGGCGUAAAGCGCGCGUAGGCGGCCCGAUAAGUCCGCUGUGAAAGUCAACGGCUCAACUGUUGGAUGCCGGUGGAUACUGUCGGGCUAGAGUACGGAAGAGGCAAGUGGAAUUCCUGGUGUAGCGGUGGAAUGCGCAGAUAUCAGGAGGAACACCUAUAGCGAAGGCAGCUUGCUGGGACGUUACUGACGCUAAGGCGCGAAAGCGUGGGGAG
rnacentral:rRNA from 1 species